CUCUCGGUUUUCCAUUACUUAUUCACUUCUAUAGUUAUCAAAUGAUGAAAUUGAGGAAGGUCACAGGAAAAAAAAAAUUGAAAAAUAGAUUCAAGGGUUUCCUCGUCUUCUUCAUUGCAUCAACGUCAAAGAACUCACUUUGUGAUUUUGUAGCUUUCUAAUUCUAAGUCUCGUAUUUGGAUUCAAGGUGAUAGUCAGAAGAUUAUUUAGAUGUAAAUGAGCAGUAAUCUUUAGAUCAGAAGAUAACGAGCUGGUGAAUCAAUAUUCUCUGUGUUGUUUUAUGUUUUCCAACUUUUCUGAAAAAACAUAAAUGGACACGAGUCUAAACAGGUUUAACGGGUUAUUCUAAAAUAAACGGGUUCGAAAACAAAUGGGCUUUACGGGCAUAUAUGUAAACGGGCAUACAUGUAAACGGGUUUAAACGUUCAGGGUUUCAAACGGGCAGGGCCUAAACGGGCCUGGGCCGCCCAUAUUAACAUUCCUAGUGUGUAUUAAAAUCCUUGUAAUAUAAAUAAGUUUGGAGAGUGUUGAAAUC